rnacentral:rRNA from 1 species
GGUACGGGGGGGGCAAGCGUUGUUCGGAAUUACUGGGCGUAAAGGGCUCGUAGGCGGCCAACUAAGUCAGACGUGAAAUCCCUCGGGCUUAACCGGGGAACUGCGUCUGAUACUGGAUGGCUUGAAGUCCGGGAGAGGGAUGCGGAAUUCCAGGUGUAGCGGUAGAAAUGCGUAGAUAUCUGGAGGAACACCGGUGGCGAAGGCGGCAUCCUGGAGCCGGCAUUGACGCUGACGGGAGCGAAAAGCCAGGGGGAGCCAAAGC